rnacentral:rRNA from 1 species
UACGAAGGGGGCUAGCGUUGUUCGGAAUCACUGGGCGUAAAGCGCACGCAGGCGGAUCGUUAAGUCAGGGGUGAAAUGCCGAGGCUCAACCUCGGAACUGCCUUUGAUACUGGCGAUCUUAGAGUCCGGGAGAGGUGAGUGGAACUCCGAGUGUAGAGGUGAAAUUCGUAGAUAUUAGGAAGAACACCAGUGGCGAAGGCGGCUCACUGGCCCGGUACUGACGCUGAGGCGCGAAAGCGUGGGGAGCAAACAGG